AGCAGCCGCGGUAAUUCCAGCUCCAAUAGCGUAUAUUAAAGUUGUUGCAGUUAAAAAGCUCGUAGUUGAAUUUCGGGGUCAGUAGGUUGGUCGUGCCAAUGGUAUGUACUGGCUUUACUGAUUCCUCCUUCUUGAAGAACUGUAAUGCCAUUAAUUUGGUGUUGCAGGGAAUCAGGACUGUUACUUUGAAAAAAUUAGAGUGUUUAAAGCAGGCUUACGCUUGAAUACAUUAGCAUGGAAUAAUGAAAUAGGACGUUGAUCUUAUUUUGUUGGUUUCUAGGAUUGACGUAAUGAUUAAUAGGGAUAGUUGGGGGCAUUAGUAUUCAAUUGUCAGAGGUGAAAUUCUUGGAUUUAUUGAAGACUAACUACUGCGAAAGCAUUUGCCAAGGAUGUUUUCAUUAAUCAAGAACGAAAGUUAGGGGAUCGAAGACGAUCAGAUACCGUCGUAGUCUUAACCAUAAACUAUGCCGACUAGGGAUCGGAUGAUGUUAAUUUUUAAUGACUCAUUCGGCGCCG
rnacentral:rRNA from 1 species